UCUUUGCUAGUAUAUCGGUUAGUACACGCGCCUGUCAUACAUAGGAUACAUGCGUUGUACAUAAUCCGCGCGAAAGCUGGGUUCGACUCCCAGGCAGAGAG